CCUACGGGCGGCACCAGUGGGGAAUAUUGGACAAAGGGCGAAAGCCUGAUCCAGCAAUGCCGCGUGAGCGAAGAAGGUCUUCGGAUCGUAAAGCUCUGUUGUUAGGGAAGAAGAAGUACCGUUCGAAUAGGGCGGUACGGUGACGGUACCUAACGAGAAAGCCCCGGCUAACUACGUGCCAGCAGCCGCGGUAAUACGUAGGGGGCGAGCGUUGUCCGGAAUUAUUGGGCGUAAAGCGCGCGCAGGCGGUCCCUUAAGUCUGAUGUGAAAGCCCACGGCUCAACCGUGGAGGGUCAUUGGAAACUGGGGGACUUGAGUGCAGAAGAGGAGAGCGGAAUUCCACGUGUAGCGGUGAAAUGCGUAGAGAUGUGGAGGAACACCAGUGGCGAAGGCGGCUCUCUGGUCUGUAACUGACGCUGAGGCGCGAAAGCGUGGGGAGCAAACAGGAUUAGAUACCCGCGU
rnacentral:rRNA from 1 species